AAAUUGAAGAGUUUGAUCAUGGCUCAGAUUGAACGCUGGCGGCAGGCCUAACACAUGCAAGUCGAACGGUAACAGGAAGCAGCUUGCUGCUUCGCUGACGAGUGGCGGACGGGUGAGUAAUGUCUGGGAAACUGCCUGAUGGAGGGGGAUAACUACUGGAAACGGUGGCUAAUACCGCAUAACGUCGCAAGACCAAAGAGGGGGACCUUCGGGCCUCUUGCCAUCAGAUGUGCCCAGAUGGGAUUAGCUUGUUGGUGAGGUAACGGCUCACCAAGGCGACGAUCCCUAGCUGGUCUGAGAGGAUGACCAGCCACACUGGAACUGAGACACGGUCCAGACUCCUACGGGAGGCAGCAGUGGGGAAUAUUGCACAAUGGGCGCAAGCCUGAUGCAGCCAUGCCGCGUGUAUGAAGAAGGCCUUCGGGUUGUAAAGUACUUUCAGCGGGGAGGAAGGUGUUGUGGUUAAUAACCGCAGCAAUUGACGUUACCCGCAGAAGAAGCACCGGCUAACUCCGUGCCAGCAGCCGCGGUAAUACGGAGGGUGCAAGCGUUAAUCGGAAUUACUGGGCGUAAAGCGCACGCAGGCGGUCUGUCAAGUCGGAUGUGAAAUCCCCGGGCUCAACCUGGGAACUGCAUUCGAAACUGGCAGGCUUGAGUCUUGUAGAGGGGGGUAGAAUUCCAGGUGUAGCGGUGAAAUGCGUAGAGAUCUGGAGGAAUACCGGUGGCGAAGGCGGCCCCCUGGACAAAGACUGACGCUCAGGUGCGAAAGCGUGGGGAGCAAACAGGAUUAGAUACCCUGGUAGUCCACGCCGUAAACGAUGUCUACUUGGAGGUUGUGCCCUUGAGGCGUGGCUUCCGGAGCUAACGCGUUAAGUAGACCGCCUGGGGAGUACGGCCGCAAGGUUAAAACUCAAAUGAAUUGACGGGGGCCCGCACAAGCGGUGGAGCAUGUGGUUUAAUUCGAUGCAACGCGAAGAACCUUACCUGGUCUUGACAUCCACAGAACUUUCCAGAGAUGGACUGGUGCCUUCGGGAACUGUGAGACAGGUGCUGCAUGGCUGUCGUCAGCUCGUGUUGUGAAAUGUUGGGUUAAGUCCCGCAACGAGCGCAACCCUUAUCCUUUGUUGCCAGCGGUUAGGCCGGGAACUCAAGGGAGACUGCCAGUGAUAAACUGGAGGAAGGUGGGGAUGACGUCAAGUCAUCAUGGCCCUUACGACCAGGGCUACACACGUGCUACAAUGGCGCAUACAAAGAGAAGCGACCUCGCGAGAGCAAGCGGACCUCAUAAAGUGCGUCGUAGUCCGGAUUGGAGUCUGCAACUCGACUCCAUGAAGUCGGAAUCGCUAGUAAUCGUGGAUCAGAAUGCCACGGUGAAUACGUUCCCGGGCCUUGUACACACCGCCCGUCACACCAUGGGAGUGGGUUGCAAAAGAAGUAGGUAGCUUAACCUUCGGGAGGGCGCUUACCACUUUGUGAUUCAUGACUGGGGUGAAGUCGUAACAAGGUAACCGUAGGGGAACCUGCGGUUGGAUCACCUCCUUA
rnacentral:rRNA from 1 species